GGCCCCAGACGAUGCGGCGCGCCCAGGAUGCUGCCGUGCCUCGUAGUGCUGCUGGCGGCGCUCCUCAGCCUCCGUCUUGGCUCAGACGCUCAUGGGACAGAGCUGCCCAGCCCUCCGUCUGUGUGGUUUGAAGCAGAAUUUUUCCACCACAUCCUCCACUGGACACCCAUCCCAAAUCAGUCUGAAAGUACCUGCUAUGAAGUGGCGCUCCUGAGGUAUGGAAUAGAGUCCUGGAACUCCAUCUCCAACUGUAGCCAGACCCUGUCCUAUGACCUUACCGCAGUGACCUUGGACCUGUACCGCAGCAAUGGCUACCGGGCCAGAGUGCGGGCUGUGGACGGCAGCCGGCACUCCAACUGGACCGUCACCAACACCCGCUUCUCUGUGGAUGAAGGUGCUUUUCCUCCCUUGACUUAGAACAUGGCUCUGAAGUCCCUUCCAGCCAGGAACUCUAGUCUAGAGCUUUU
rnacentral:sRNA from 1 species